rnacentral:rRNA from 1 species
GCAGACGGGUGAGUAACGCGUGGGAAUCUACCCUUCUCUACGGGAUAGCUCCGGGAAACUGGAAUUAAUACCGUAUACGUCCUGAGGGAGAAAGAUUUAUCGGGGAAGGAUGAGCCCGCGUUGGAUUAGCUAGUUGGUGGGGUAAAGGCCUACCAAGGCGACGAUCCAUAGCUGGUCUAAGAGGAUGAUCAGCCACAUUGGGACUGAGACACGGCCCAAACUCCUACGGGAGGCAGCAGUGGGGAAUAUUGGACAAUGGGCGCAAGCCUGAUCCAGCCAUGCCGCGUGAGUGAUGAAGGCCCUAGGGUUGUAAAGCUCUUUCAGUGGGGACGAUAAUGACGGUACCCACAGAAGAAGCCCCGGCUAACUUCGUGCCAGCAGCCGCGGUAAUACGAAGGGGGCUAGCGUUGUUCGGAAUUACUGGGCGUAAAGCGCACGUAGGCGGAUAUUUAAGUCAGGGGUGAAAUCCCGGGGCUCAACCCCGGAACUGCCUUUGAUACUGGAUAUCUUGAGUUCGGAAGAGGUAAGUGGAAUUGCGAGUGUAGAGGUGAAAUUCGUAGAUAUUCGCAGGAACACCAGUGGCGAAGGCGGCUUACUGGUCCGAUACUGACGCUGA